AAUGGUAUGCAAGCAGUAUUGGAAUGUGGUCUUACGAGUCCCACAACAGUUAAGAAGUGGGUGUGCCCUCUCCAACCACUGCCUCCUUCUGCCUGCUGGAUGCAGAAGACCCUGAGGCAGCUAGUGAACAGCAGGAUCACGAGAUAGAAGCUAGGUCCCCGAAUCAUCCUGUGGAGGCAAAUUGCUCUAAACCAGGAUCAACUGCGCUGACUGUUGCUUGAACCAGGAGCGAAUUUUCAAAAUCCUGAUAUCAGCAAACAUGCGGCUUGGCAAGCUGGGAAUAUUAACCUGAGGUCCCAUCAGGGUUCUUCAUGACUUUAACAUGGUUCAGCCAUAGUUAGUAAGGCCGUAUGAUUCUCCCACUUCGGGUGUGAUCCUUGUUGGUACCUGGACUUACAGCAGAUGUACAUAAGAGACAUUACUGUACUGAACAGCAGAAUGCAGAAAUGCAAGACACCGUGGAAGAUUGUCUCCCAACAACAACAUACAAUAGGAAGCUGUAGAAACUGAGAGAUGCACAAAGCAUGGGCACCAAGUGCUCACGUGAGGCAGCCGAAGCCACAGGUAGAAAGAAAAUGGGAAUGAAAAUUAUUUCAUAGCAACAGGAGAAAUAAGUAAGAAAGGACACAGCAUCUUCAUAGAAUGGAAGCCUCGUGAUACUUACAAAUACGACUAGAAUCAUAUUCCCUCACUGAAGGACACAACCAGGCAGUACUUGUAUAGAAGUUACCGAAUGUCAUCGUGGUAGUCCUUACGAGAGUAACCAUCAACAAAGUAGGCACACUUAGGAGAAUAGGAAGAUGGCUCCCCAUUCUUCCAGGAACAUGGAUGUCAUAAACCAUGUUUUAAAGGAGUGUGAGAAGACAUUUCCAGACCCUGGGAAGGAAAUUGUGGGGACAGCAGAGAAGGAAAGAGAUCAGGACUCUUAGACAAAGAAUCUGGACCCAUCAUAUCCAAGCACUGGAGAACCCAUUUGUGAUACCAGAAGUGGCUGUAGAUUGAACGGGAAGAGGGUCCAUCCACUACAGUGACUCAUGCUGCUGGACAUAGCAUCCACAGGAUAUAAGCCCAAUUCUGGCUCCCCUCGCCCAGUCAAGGGGUGCUUCUGCCACCAGCAUACUCUCCUAGACAGUUAGAGAGGCUGUGUAUAGAUUUCCGGGUCCCUCGGGAGUCAAGAAACGGGGCUCCAUAGUCUGUAGAUGGAUCAGAAGUGACGCUUUGGUGGCAGCCAUAAACUUUCUCACCGUGUCUCAUAAAUGAUGAGUAUGUCUUUUCUCCCCAACUGGACUCUAAGCUCCUGGAGACCAGAAACGAGUUUUACUGAGUCAGUGUGGACACAGUAGAUUCAUUUGUUUCCACGAGCCUCACUAGAUGAUCCACUUUUCUCCUUCCCUCAGCCUCCCAUCCCUUGUCUAUUGUUUAUUCAUGGUUUAAACCAUAUAAAAGUGAAUUCUAAAUUAAUGUUGAGGAUUCUAGAUGGCUGAUGUCUUCCCCUUGCUGAAUGAUUUACUCCAUUUCUCUUGGAAGCUCCCACUGAAACAAAGAAUCAAUGAGCUUGAAUAAAGGUGAGAGGGCAAAGGAAAAAAGGAAGAGGCUGGGAUACAUGGCUCUGCCCCGAGAGCAAAAAGUGUGACUUGUCUUUAGAGAAUAAGAUUCUGUGAGAAAGACAGCAGUUCUAGUUCCCAGUGGCAGCAAGGUGGCAAUGCUGCUUCUGGAGAGAGUCAGAUCUUCCCAGCCUCCUUGUCUACUAUGUUGAUUUCGUUCUCAUUUGGAAGUCAGUCUUGAAUUCAAGUAUAGGGGCGAUUUCCUUCCUGUCCAAGAUGUCAACCUGUAAAACACAUUGAUUGAAAUAAGUAACAAUUUGCAUUCAGGGCACAUUUAUUCAAGGGUUCAAGUCUCUUUUCAAGCAUGAUCAUGCCCACUCCUCAGAGAUAACAAGGUAGUUAUCAAUUAUCUUCAUUUUAAAGAUGCCAAAACUGAGUCAGUAGAGUCAAAUAUCAAGUUCAGCCGAAUAGAACUGAAACCCAAUUCCAUCCUUUUUAUAUAUGUAAUUAUUAUAAUUAUUAUCACUCAAAGGCAUUUCUGAUGCUAACACAGCCCACGGUGCAGAAUUCAGCCAGCACCUGAAAUGCAGCCAGGGAGACAAUAUUUAAUAAAAAAUAAUUCUGAGACCACAGCACUCCCAGUUUUUGAAAGCCUUAAAAUAAAUUCCAAAUUUAUUCAUAAUGGAAAUAAAUCACAGAAUCCAAGGUACAAAAUUAUUUCCACAGCUGCUCCA